rnacentral:rRNA from 1 species
UACGAAGGGUGCAAGCGUUACUCGGAAUUACUGGGCGUAAAGCGUGCGUAGGUGGUGAGUUAAGUCUGUCGUGAAAGCCCCGGGCUCAACCUGGGAAUGGCGAUGGAUACUGGCUCGCUAGAGUGCGGUAGAGGAGAGUGGAAUUCCCGGUGUAGCAGUGAAAUGCGUAGAUAUCAAGAGGAACACCUGAGGCGAAGGCGGGUUGCUAGGCUGACACUGACGCUGAUGCGCGAAAGCCAGGGGAGCAAACGGG